rnacentral:lncRNA from 1 species
CUGUUUUUGGCUCCAUGAGGGUUACUACUCGUCUAGUUGGGCACUCCUUUGCUUUGUGUCCUCUGUUUUGACAUCGAUAACAAGUCACUUCAAAUAAAUUCAAAGUACUAGAAGACUUACCUUGAUUCGUUUUGCCUUGUGGUUCACAUAAAGACGUGAUGAUUGAGUUUUGUUGAAUCUCCUUCACUUGAACAGGUUUCUUAGCCUCUGAUUU